rnacentral:misc_RNA from 1 species
UGGCAGGGUGACAAACAGAUGUGAA